UCCAGGUGAACAGAUCGGUUGCCACAACCUGCCAGGGUUGGUCUGGGAUACAGUGAGGUAACAUUGGCUCUUUGGUGUUUGAGGGGCGUCUUUCAAGACAGAUGGUGCAUCUACCAACAAUGUCCUCUAUUUGUUUGCACAUUCCAGGCCAAAACAAAAUGUCCCGUGCUCUCUGUUUGCACUUUUCCAUGCCCAUGUGUCCAGCAUGGAUCUUUGUCAAAAUCUCUUCUCUGAGACUGGUAGGAAUAAUGAUUUUCUCUCCUUUGAAAAUGAUUCCGUUGAUCUGUGAUAGUUCAUCACGAUGGUUCCAGAACUCUGAGACGCUCUGAGGGCAUUUUCUCCUCUCCUCAGGCCAUCCAUCCUGUAUGACUUCCCUCAGCUGUGUGAGUUGUGAGUCCUUGUCUGUUUCUGCUUGGAUCUCCUUCAGUUUCGUGUCACUAACUGGUAAGUUGCUGUACACAGUGUGCACUUGCAUGUCCAUGCCCUCACUGAGGCUGCUGUCCUUGUAGGUAAGAAACUUCCUGGAGAGUGUGUCUGCGACAGGGAUGUCUUUGCCUGGACGGUGAGUGAUUGUGAAGUCGUAUUUUUGUAGUUGAAGGAUCAUUCUCUGUAGCCUUGGCGGGGCUGCAGCUAGUGGUUUCGUCAUGAUUGACUCAAGGGGCUUGUGGUCGGAUUCCACAAUGACUUGUCGUCCAUAUACGUACUGAUGGAAACGUUUACAUCCGAACAGAAUGGCAUAGAGCUCCUUUUCGAUUUGAGCGUAGUUGAUUUCACAGUCUGUGAGAGAUUUGGAAGCGUAGCCGAUGGGCUUUCCUUCUUGCAGUAGCACUGCACCUAGUCCAUACUUCGACGCGUCCACUUGGAGUCUGAGCUCUUUGUUGGGGUCGUAGUAGGCAAGGAUUGGUCCUGGUUCUCUCGUGAUCAAGUCUUUCACAUUCUGGAAAGCAAUGUCAUGUUGCUUGUCCCAAAGAAACUCACUGGACUGCUUUAGCAGUUGACGCAGGGGUGCAUUAGCAUUGGAGAUGCUGGGUGCGAACUUGGCUAAGUAGUUGACCAUGCCAAGCACUGUUUCCAGCUCUGCACGGUUCUUUGGUGGCUCCAUUUCUUUUAUGGCUGAGAUCUUCUGUGGAUCUGGCUUGAUUCCAUUCGCUGUGAGAAGAUGUCCGAAGUAGCUGACCUCUGUAGCGCUGACUGUGCUCUUCUCGGGGUUGAGCCGGACUCCUCUAUUUGCAUUUGAAAGUGCAUGUGCCUUUUACUGGGAGCUGUUCACCACCAUAACCAGUCAGUCUGCGCAUGGUGGGCUGUAGCUCUCACUCAGAUGUCAAGCUGCGGUACUUAUUCAGAGGAAUAAUGUUUACUUGUGCACCAGUGUCUAGUUUGAACUUUAGCUUUGUGCCUUGUGUUCCUAUCUCAAUGUCAGCAAAGGCUUGCUCUGUCUCUGAUAUGUGACUUUUCUGUGUCACUGAAUCAAUAAACAGUUCAUCAUCAUUUGACUCUUUGAUUGACAUUUCAUCUUCACUCACUGUGUGUACUGUUUUUCCACGAGGAGCAGGUAGCUACAUUUUUCCUCUUCUCUUUCCUUCAGAGGACCAGUGAACAUUAGCUCCACAUGCUGUUUGUACUUACGCCAUGCAUCGGGUAAGUUUGUAGACUCCCAGUCCAUUCGAGGUGAAGGAACUCCAGAAAAAUCCAUCUUUUAAGACCAUUUACUCUGACACCAUGUCUUGUUUUGUACGCUUUGUACAAAAUAAUAAAACGCAGAACUACAGGAUGUUUCUUAACAUAACUCUUUAUUAACUAGCUACAACUACAUGUUAGCCUAUCUCCAACCACGAU
rnacentral:lncRNA from 1 species